AAAACAAACAGCAGCGGUGGCGGUGAUGGCGGCGGCGGCGGCGGCGCGGCGUAGGCCGCGGCUCUGAGGGCAGCGGCAGCUCGACCCCCUACCACCGGCCCCUCACCUCCACAGGCACUGAUACCCGCGGCGAGCCGCAGCGGAGCCGGCCGGCUGCGAGACCCCCACCGGUCCGGGCGCCGGGGUCCGGAACCAAGGAGGAGGCGGAGGAGGGGCGCCGGCCGGAGCCCCAGGGCAGCCGCAGGGCCCUUGGGACUUGGAGGCGCAGCUAGCGGGCCCGGGGCUGCGGGGACCCCCCCGUGCCCGGGCGGGGCGCUGAGGAGACGCCGGAGCACGGCGGGGGGAGCGGGGCGGCGGGCCCCCCUCGGGCAGCCGGGCCUCCGCGCGGGAUGAGCCGCCGCGCCGCCAGCACUGCCGCCCCCGCACAGAUUGCCAUAUGCAAUGGACACUGAUCUCAGUUCCCAGGACAGGAAGGACCUGGACAAGUUCAUCAAAUUUUUUGCUUUAAAGACGGUACAAGUAAUUGUCCAGGCCCGACUUGGAGAGAAAAUCUGUACCCGAUCAUCAUCCUCCCCAACAGGCUCUGACUGGUUCAAUUUGGCAAUCAAAGAUAUACCAGAGGUUACUCAUGAAGCAAAGAAAGCCCUGGCAGGACAACUACCUGCUGUUGGACGGUCUAUGUGCGUGGAGAUUUCUCUCAAAACCUCAGAGGGGGACUCCAUGGAGCUGGAAAUUUGGUGUCUAGAAAUGAAUGAAAAGUGUGACAAAGAAAUCAAAGUUUCAUACACCGUAUACAACAGGCUGUCUCUAUUGCUGAAGUCUUUGCUUGCUAUAACCAGGGUAACUCCAGCCUACAGACUCUCAAGGAAACAAGGCCAUGAAUAUGUAAUAUUGUACAGGAUAUAUUUUGGUGAAGUGCAACUGAGUGGCUUGGGAGAAGGUUUCCAGACAGUCCGUGUUGGGACAGUGGGUACCCCAGUGGGCACCAUCACUUUGUCUUGUGCUUACAGAAUCAACCUUGCUUUUAUGUCAACCAGGCAGUUUGAGAGGACCCCUCCUAUCAUGGGGAUUAUCAUUGAUCACUUUGUGGACCGUCCCUAUCCCAGCUCUUCACCCAUGCAUCCCUGCAAUUACAGAGCUGGUGAGGACAAUGGUGCAGUAUACCCCUCAGUAGAAGAUUCCCAAGAAGUGUGUACCACGUCUUUUUCCACCUCUCCUCCAUCUCAGUAUGUUUUUACUGUUACAAAGGCACAUUUUCAGACCCCUCCUCCUGUGGUGACGGACACCUUGAAGGUCCCAGUGAUGGGACUGGCCUUUUCACAUCAACUUUCCAGCUCUCGUCUUUCCUAUCAGCCUGCUGCGCUGGGAGUUGGAUCAGCUGACACGGGGUAUCCUGUACUCUUUGCUGGUGGCUUGAACGCUGCACACCCUCACCAGUUGAUUGGUCCAGGCAAAGAGGGGGGAGUUCCCCCAAUUCCAAGCCAGCCAGCACAUGGCACUCAAGCUGACCAAGAGAGGAUGUGCACCCCGCUGGAUGGAGUCCACUACUCAGCAGCUACUCCUUCUAGUAGCGAGGACACAGAAACGGUAUCAAACAGCAGCGAAGGGAAGUGUGGCUCCCCACGUGACCUUUUGGAGACCAUCUUUAUCCGGAAGGUGGGAGCUUUUGUCAACAAACCCAUUAACCAGGUGACCAUGGCCAACUUAGACAUUCCUUUUGCCAUGUUUGCUCCCAAGAAUGUUGAGCUGGAAGAUAACGACCCCAUGGUCAAUCCUCCUGACUCCCCAGACACUGAAUCUCCUCUACAAGGCAGCUUACACUCGGAGGGCUCCAGUGGCAGCAGCACAGGGAACACCCACGAUGACUUUGUUAUGAUUGACUUUAAACCAGCAUUUUCAAAAGAUGACAUUCUUCCAAUGGACCUGGGGACAUUUUACCGUGAGUUUCAGAACCCCCCUCAACUCAGCAGCCUCUCCAUUGACAUUGGAGCGCAGUCCAUGGCAGAGGAUUUGGCUGAAGGCUGCUGCCGCAUGCUUGCUAUGGCUGUCAUUCAAACCCCCAAGACUAACUGUACCUCUGACGUGUCAAACUUAGUGGCAAGCUAGGCCUGAUCUUGCAGCCUGAGCAGAGGUAAAAUCCUGGUCUGGCUGGUGAAAGUCAUGUCUGGGACUCAUUACCAGAGAAGCUGGCAGUCCACGAGAAAAACGUCAAAGAGUUUGACGCCUUUGUAGAAACCUUGCAGUGAAGCUGUUUUUCAGUUUUGCUGCAGCAGUUCUUCCUCAUCAAGGCAUCCUGGAGAAUGACAUCAACAAGUAUCUCUAUCGCCCCUGCUCUGCCUUUUGUCUCACUUUGACUAGUUCCUUCCAUCAAGUGAGUUUUCUUUGAUUGCUCUCUUCAACAGCAGAUACAGUUCAUCUGCUGAUUUUCCUCAACUACACCACCGCAUAGUUCUGGACCGCUUUUCCUGCUCACAGUCAGUUUUGAACUUAAGACUUCAGUAGGGACACGGGAAGUCAAACUCCAAUGUAUGAAACUUAUUUUCUCUUCAGCCUCUGUUCUGUGUGGAGGGGCUUUGUGAAAAGUUGCCGUACGCUUCCUCCAGAGGUCCUAUGGUCUAAGUUCCCUAGGUGUAGCUUCUUGCUAACAGACUUUUUCCUACAGUCUCUGAUCCUGUUAGAGCAUAGAAAGCUUCGGCUCGUUUCCAAGGUCUGUGAGUUCAGCAGAUUCAACAGUUUUAAGUCCAGGACAUCCAUUCCGCAGAACGGGGCAUUUCAUCCUGACUUCAGCGUGCGUGCCUGGAGCCCAGGGAGUGACAUCAGCUUUGGGACCUGUGUAAUACAAGUUACCUUUGUUUUCCUGCUUCUAAGGAACUGGGUCUCUACACAUGUGAGGCCUUCUGUUAUGCCAGCGGAUAAGCAGGAAUAAAUUCCACAUUUCCUUCCCAAGUGUACCAAUACUCAGCCAUGCUGAGUUUACCAGUGUUGACUGUUGGCAAGCCUGCACGCAGCAGCUGUGAUGAUGCUGAAUUCAUAGUCUCUGCUUUUGAAAUGUAACUGUAAAUACUAGGAAUCCUAUUUCUUUAGGGUUAUGUAACUAGGAGUCUUAGUCCAAGAUUCUUUCCUCUAACUCUUGCAAACCUUCCUGCUUUAUGGUUAAUAGAUGAUCUUAAGAAUCAAGAAAUAUUUAUUGCUUUUAAAGAAACCUAUAUUUAAAAGAUGUUCUGUUUUCACGUAGUAGUGCGGGUCAUUCUGCCCUGGAUCACUGCAGACAGCAAGUGUGCCAUGGAAUCCUGGCCAGUGAGACUGGUCUCUCUUUGCAGGAAAAUAUCCAAGAUACUUAUUUUCUAAGGUAGACUUGAUUAUUCUAAUAUAAUGCUCUGAUUUGGGGACUAUGUGUCCAUUACAUCCAGUCAGGGCCCAUUGAUAGAAUGAAAUGCACACAUCAGUGUAGUGGACUGGCAGGGACUUGGUUAAAAGCUGUAUUCUGAUAGGCAUGGAUGAAUUUGCAGUGUUCUUCAGCCAUUCAGGAGCAGCUUCUUUAAAGAAGCACAUUUUUUGGGAGCUUAUGGUACUUUUUAAUCAGCUGGCUUUUGAUUAGCUGAAAUUUUAUUUUUGUAAUGAUCUGGCUAUCAACAGUGUGACUGGCUGGCAGUGCUCUGUGGUUGAUUUGGCUGUUGCCUGUCUUUUGCCUGAUGUAAGGAUCGGAGAAGAAACUGACACUAAUCAGAAACUUAGGUAAGUUAGGUCUUCUUGUGGUUCUCUCUCCUCCUCCCACGUGUAACUAGAGUGAGCAACUGCAAGACCCCUUACUGUCCUAAAACACUUUUUUUUUUUUCCUUCAGAAGUGGGGUUGUGUUGCCUCAGUAGUGAGGAACCAUCUUAAUUUCCUUAGAGUAGCUCAGUAACCAGCCUUCGAGUUAGCGCAAUGUGGCAGCUUUUUAACUUAGCUGCAUUCUUAAUUUAAAGAGAUUGCUAGCAGCUGACAGGGGAACCCCACCUCCUCUCUAGAACACUAUUUCUGUGCCACUGUUAGAGCAAGGAACCAAGUUCAGAAUAGAGCUUACUGUAAGGUCAGAGCAAUGCAAUGCUUUGAACAUUACUAGCUUUUUUUGUUGGGUGAUGUGUUCCGUGGGAGACCACGUUAGCUCUAAAACUGUAGGUGAGAGCUAUGUUGAAGGAAAGCUACCCACCAGAACCUUUUUAGCUAACUCAACCAAUUCAAGUUUUCAGCAACCUCACAAAGAAAUUGCUUAGUCCUUGCAAAUAAGAUGCACAAACAUUUAAGAAAGCUUCCAAGGUAAACAGCUCACAAGAGGGCUUAAGUUACAUGGGCUUUAACAAAUACUUGAUCCCCGCAGGCAGAGCCACCUUGUUUUAUGGGUGGAAAGGGUUGCAAAAGGGUACAGGAACACAAGGAAUUGGUGGACCUCUGCUGAGGAAGUUGGUCUCUGCCACCUUGUAGGAAGUAGCUCUCAGACAGGUGGUUGCUGUCGCCUUUCUCUUAACGUACACGCUGUGCUUGGGGACGUGAUAGGAGCUGGGCUGCAAAGCAGCAGAAGCGGGGUAAAGUGCUGGUUCACACUCUAUUCAUGGAAAAGAAUAGACUAGGUUGAACUUUGUGUAGCCAGUGCUACCGCUGUCCUCUUCUAACAGCAACAAGCUGCGGAGUUGGCAGAAAGCAGGCCGUUCGUGGUAAUCCUGUCCAGAAGGUCCCCUGGGCCCAAUGCUUGUUCUCAUUUGUUGAUGCAGUUCCUAACAUGGCUACAGCUCCCACAUCUCAGAAGGCAGAACAUCAGCAUGGCACAUUUUUUUUCCUACUUCAGAAGGCUGGAAAUUCACCUAUAUAAGCUGCUAGUGUUGAGCUGGAUGGCCAUAGCAAUAAAGAGAUUCUCUAGGGCUGAGUUACGUGCCUCUCUUCUGGGCAUUCCUCAGCUUCAACACAUAGUUGCUACGUCUAGGCUCUGUGUUCUCUGACCACUGCACAAAUGCUCCGCUUCAGGAAAGAUCCAGCUGCUGCUGCUGUGGCCUGCCACAGAUUGUGUUACGAAGGCUGUUUAUUUUAGCAGCUGUUUGCUCAAUUCUAUAUUAAGGACAGUAUGUAUGUAGCUGCUGAUUUACAGAUACUUUGGGUGAAGGGGAAGGCUCCUAAAUUGUAUUGUUUUGGAAAUAGUCUCCAGUGUACUUCAAGUAUUCAAAGAAUUUCCAAUAAAACUUUUACGUAAGCAA